CUCUGCCUUCAUCCAGCUCCCUGAUAAUGACCAGAGGGGAAAAGUUGAAGAUGGCCCAGUUCCUUAGAUCCCUGCACCCAUGUGGAGACCCAGACGGAGUUCCAGUUUCUGGUUUUAGCCUGGCCAUUGUGGCCAUGUGGGGAGUGGACAAGUGGAUGGAAGAAAUGUGUCUGUCUCUUCCCUAUUGUUGCCAGCAAAGGAGGUUUUGAAAUGGCCACCAAAGAAAAGAAGUGGUCUAAAGUCGAUAGCUGCUUGGGAUAUCUGCCAGGAAAAGAAACUUGGUCUCUCUUCAAAGUCUCACUGUGAAAGAAUUCUCUACCCAUAUGAGCUGUUCCAGUCUGGCGUCAGUCUUAUGAUUGUUGCCAGCAAAGGAGGUUUUGAAAUGGCCACCAAAGAAAAGAAGUGGUCUAAAGUCGAUAGCUGCUUGGGAUAUCUACCAGGAAAAGAAACUUGGUCUCUCUUCAAAGUCUCACUGUGAAAGAAUUCUCUACCCAUAUGA